GACGAACGCUGGCGGCGUGCUUAACACAUGCAAGUCGAACGGAAAGGCCCUGCUUUUGUGGGGUGCUCGAGUGGCGAACGGGUGAGUAACACGUGAGUAACCUGCCCUUGACUUUGGGAUAACUUCAGGAAACUGGGGCUAAUACCGGAUAGGAGCUCCUGCUGCAUGGUGGGGGUUGGAAAGUUUCGGCGGUUGGGGAUGGACUCGCGGCUUAUCAGCUUGUUGGUGGGGUAGUGGCUUACCAAGGCUUUGACGGGUAGCCGGCCUGAGAGGGUGACCGGCCACAUUGGGACUGAGAUACGGCACAGACGCCUACGGGAGGCAGCAGUGGGGAAUAUUGCACAAUGGGCGGAAGCCUGAUGCAGCAACGCCGCGUGCGGGAUGACGGCCUUCGGGUUGUAAACCGCUUUCGCCUGUGACGAAGCGUGAGUGACGGUAAUGGGUAAAGAAGCACCGGCUAACUACGUG
rnacentral:rRNA from 1 species